AACGAACGCUGGCGGCAUGCCUAACACAUGCAAGUCGAACGAGACCUUCGGGUCUAGUGGCGCACGUGUGCGUACCGCGUGGGAACUUGCACUUAGGUUCGGAAUCACUCCCCGAAAGGGGUGCUAAUACCGGUUAAUGUCUUCGGACCAAAGAUUUAUCGCCUUUGGAUGGGCCCGCGUUGGAUUAGCUAGUUGGUAGGGUACAAGCCUACCAAGGCGACGAUCCAGAGCUGGUCUGAGAGGAUGAUCAGCCACACUGGGACUGAGACACGGCCCAGACUCCUACGGGAGGCAGCAGUGGGGAAUAUUGGACAAUGGGCGAAAGCCUGAUCCAGCAAUGCCGCGUGAGUGAUGAAGGCCUUAGGGUUGUAAAGCUCUUUUACCCGGGAUGAUAAUGACAGUACCGGGAGAAUAAGCGCCGGCUAACUCCGUG
rnacentral:rRNA from 1 species